GUGGCGCACGGGUGAGUAACACGUAAGUAAUCUACCCUCGGGUGGGGAAUAACGUCGGGAAACCGACGCUAAUACCGCAUAAUGCAGCGGCACCGCAAGGUGACAGUUGUUAAAGGAGUAAUUCGCCUGGGGAGGAGCUUGCGGCAGAUUAGCUAGUUGGUAAGGUAAUGGCUUACCAAGGCAACGAUCUGUAACCGGUCUAAGAGGACGGUCGGUCACACUGACACUGAAUAACGGGUCAGACUCCUACGGGAGGCAGCAGUCGGGAAUUUUGGGCAAUGGGCGAAAGCCUGACCCAGCAACGCCGCGUGAAGGAUGAAGUAUUUCGGUAUGUAAACUUCGUAAAAAUAGGAAGAAUAAAUGACGGUACUAUUUGUAAGGUCCGGCUAACUACGUGCCAGCAGCCGCGGUAAUACGUAGGGACCAAGCGUUGUUCGGAUUUACUGGGCGUAAAGGGCGCGUAGGCGGCGUGACAAGUCACUUGUGAAAUCUCCGGGCUUAACUCGGAACGGCCAAGUGAUACUGUCGUGCUAGAGUGCAGAAGGGGCAAUCGGAAUUCUUGGUGUAGCGGUGAAAUGCGUAGAUAUCAAGAGGAACACCUGAGGUGAAGACGGGUUGCUGGGCUGACACUGACGCUGAGGCGCGAAAGCUAGGGGAGCAAACGGGAUUAGAUACCCCGGUAGUCCUAGCCCUAAACGAUGAAUACUUGGUGUCUGGAGUUUUUAUCCUCCGGGUGCCGUCGCUAACGUUUUAAGUAUUCCGCCUGGGGAGUACGCACGCAAGUGUGAAA
rnacentral:rRNA from 1 species